rnacentral:rRNA from 1 species
AGUGAACGCUGGCGGUAGGCCUAACACAUGCAAGUCGAACGGCAGCACAGUAAGAGCUUGCUCUUACGGGUGGCGAGUGGCGGACGGGUGAGGAAUACAUCGGAAUCUACUUUUUCGUGGGGGAUAACGUAGGGAAACUUACGAUAAUACCGCAUACGACCUACGGGUGAAAGCAGGGGAGCUUCGGACCUUGCGCGAUUGAAUGAGCCGAUGUCGGAUUAGCUAGUUGGCGGGGUAAAGGCCCACCAAGGCGACGAUCCGUAGCUGGUCUGAGAGGAUGAUCAGCCACACUGGAACUGAGACACGGUCCAGACUCCUACGGGAGGCAGCAGUGGGGAAUAUUGGACAAUGGGCGCAAGCCUGAUCCAGCCAUACCGCGUGGGUGAAGAAGGCCUUCGGGUUGUAAAGCCCUUUUGUUGGGAAAGAAAAGCAGCAGGUUAAUCCCCCGCUGUUCUGACGGUACCCAAAGAAUAAGCACCGGCUAACUUCGUG